CAGAAUCUCUUUUGGAGCCUGGGCCUGAGAUGGAGUAGGUAACCCGGGCAGUAACUGCCUGAACCGCUCCUGCUGGCUGCAAAGCCUUUUCAACUUCAGCAUCCCAGGAUGACAGAGAUGCACGUAGAUUCCAGGAUGACAGAGAUACUGAGAGAUGGAGACACUCAGAGAGCCCAAGCCAGAGUUCCAAGACACCCAAAACUCUGGAUCACAGACAUAGAGCCAGAGAACCUGGGAACAAAUCGAAAGUGCAACCAACAGAGAUCAUAAAAGAGACCGGGUGUCCGGUGGGCCAGCCCGCCUACAUGUGUGGUGAAGGCGGGUGUUCUCAUGUCCCCCACCCCCGUGUGCAAAUGUAUGUGCAUGGAACCAGGUACCCUCAAUCUAAGGGCAGCCUGCCAGAUUCCAACUAAAUCUACUCAGUUAUUAUCAUUUAGAACAUCAAGAUGGGUCUUCCGGGAGGCAGAAGCCCCUCCUUCAUGAUGUCUGCGGACUUCAAGCUAAGCUCUUCCUUCAGUACCACAUCAUGUCUCAAGA